rnacentral:lncRNA from 1 species
ACCCCCACCCGUGUCGGCCCCGCGGCACUGCGGUUUCGCGUUCCUGGAUGCCCCGCACCAAGCCCGCCGCGAGGUCGCAGGGCAGAGACUGCCUUCAGCUUUUGGUCCUCCGUUCCCUUAGUCUCAAGCAUCACCACCCCCCGCCCCCCGCCUUUACCAUCUGGGUUUGGGUACUUCUGGGUGGAGAGCAGAACCCAAGCCUGUCCUUGCCGCCCUCCUCCCGGUUCUCCUCCAGCACUCCAGUCCCAGGUUUCGGAAGCCUGCGCGAAAACCGAGGGGGUAAGGAAUGGUGGAUGGAAGCCAGCUGCUGGGCCCCCUUAGGCAGCGCCCCCGCCUCCUCGUUUCCGUUUCAGCUAGAACUCAUCUCCGCGGGAGCAGCCAGUGAGAGGUUUUUGGUGUUGGAAUAUUCCAGGUUUUCUCCAAAGGAAGAUAGUGGGGUGUUUUUCCACAUGGCAACAGCCCUUAAGGGAAGCACUUGGUCUUUCCUGGUCCCCAGCCGUGCCCCAACUCUUCACCCAGCCUAG